UCCGAGUUGACCCCGGCAGUCUCCUGUGAGUCCCCGGCAUAACCCGCUGGCAACACAGAACAAGGGUUGCGCUCGUUGCGGGACUUAACCCAACAUCUCACGACACGAGCUGACGACAGCCAUGCACCACCUGUACACCGACCACAAGGGGGGCCGUAUCUCUACGGCUUUCCGGUAUAUGUCAAACCCAGGUAAGGUGGGGAUGACGUAGACCUUGGACC
rnacentral:misc_RNA from 1 species